AUAUAUAAGAAACAAAAGAAAGAAACAAAAGAAUAAAAAGAGGAAAGAAACAGAAUAGCAGGGGACGAAACAGAGAAGGGAGAAAGGAAGAAAAGAAAAAGGGAAAAAUAAGGUUUUAAAGGUUCCAAGUUAAUUUGCUAAUGUUGUCUCGGGAAACCUCGGCUAAGCAAGGAAAAAAAAAUGGCAAAGACAAAGGGAGUUAGCUCGAGAAAAUACGGUUUGUAUUUCUAUAAUCCGAACCUAGUUAUUAAUUGUUAUAUUUUUUUUAUUCAAUGCAUUUAAUAAAUGUUGAAGUGAGAAUUAUUGUGUUUAUAAUGGAAAUGGAUUAAUUUGGUA